AGUGAACGCUGGCGGCAGGCCUAACACAUGCAAGUCGAACGGCAACACAGUAAGAUUUUUCUCCUACGGGUGGCGAGUGGCGGACGGGUGAGGAAUACAUCGGAAUCUUCUUUUUCGGGGGGGAUAACGUAGGGAAACUUACGCUAAUACCGCAUACGACCUACGGGUUAAAGCAGUGGAUCUUCGGAGCUUUGGUGUCUGUAUGAGCCGAUGUCGGAUUAGCUAGUUGGCGUGGUAAAGGACCACCAAGGCAACGAUCCGUAGCUGGUCUGAGAGGAUGAUCAGCCACACUGGAACUGAGACACGGUCCAGACUCCUACGGGAGGCAGCAGUAGGGAAUCUUGGGCAAUGGGCGAAAGCCUGACCCAGCAAUGCCGCGUGGGUGAAGAAGGUCUUCGGGUUGUAAAGCCCUUUUGUUGGGAAAGAACAACAGCGGGAUAAUACACCGCUGUUCUGACGGUACCCAAAGAGUAAGCACCGGCUAACUACGUG
rnacentral:rRNA from 1 species